rnacentral:misc_RNA from 1 species
GAUUCUUGUGAACUCCUAAUCGACGGAAAAAUGAUUUGCCGAACUGUGAAUUUCAAAAUAAAACCCCAAACCUCUCAGUAGCGAGCACAAACAAAUAAGCACCAAUGAGCUGCUAAAACUUUGCUCUGACUGGAUAAAACAGAAUCCCCGAUUCCGGAGUUGAAGUGAAAUGUGGUAACUGAUUGCAACUGUAGAUAAAACGACGCAAACAAAGGAAAAUUACCUGAAAUUUUGCAGUGAAAUCUGAAUCAAUACGAUCGAGAUGAGGAAACCAAGUUCCCAAAUUCUAUUCGGCCAGAAACUGAAUUUUCUGUAUCUUUUCCUGUUAAACCAACCUACCCCGAAAAGCAUAACUCAAGCAAAAUCAAAGGCACCACAUAAAGAAGAUUUGAACCACCAAUCGAGGGGCAAUAUCGAAGAAGAAGAGAUCAUUCCAUUGCAAACAGGCGCUAAAAGAC